rnacentral:lncRNA from 1 species
AUGUGGUGCAGCGAGGUUUUGUCCUUUCCAGUAUUUUUCCUGACCCUGCUGGUGUCAGUUCCACCUCAGAGCCUCUCUCCCUCUCCCCUUCUCUGUUCCCCUUCAGGAACCAGGACAUUCUGGGAAACUCCUCAGUGUGAUUUGCACCACACUUGUGUCACAGCUGGCUUGGACCCUUUGGAACUGGAAAUGAGGCUUGUUUCAGGCAGUGGCUCUAAAAAUCAUUCUGAGGACCACGUGCAGCCCAGGCCCAGCUCUGACUCAGGUGGUGAAGGCACAGCACCAUUUUUCCUUUUGUGGCAAGAAGUUUUGAAGCAUCUUCCCAAAGACAGCAAUAACUGUGAGGAGCUGAACCCUGAAGCUCAUCCUUGUUUCCUGGGAGUGUUUACUGGGCAGUGCAAGGAGGGGAGGCCACAGGCACAAGGAUUUUAUGGCCCCUAUAAAAGCUGCACACAGCUUUUCCUCCAUUUGCUGCUGUUAACUGCAACAUUUGGGAUCAUAUGGCACUUUGAGUGCUCUGAUUUAUGGGGAGGCAGCAACUGCAUCUGUAAUAAACAUUCUAAAGGCUGA